rnacentral:rRNA from 1 species
AGUGAACGCUGGCGGUAGGCCUAACACAUGCAAGUCGAACGGCAGCACAGUAAGAGCUUGCUCUUACGGGUGGCGAGUGGCGGACGGGUGGGGAAUACAUCGGAAUCUACUUUUUCGUGGGGGAUAACGUAGGGAAACUUACGCUAAUACCGCAUACGACCUACGGGUGAAAGCAGGGGAUCUUCGGACCUUGCGCGAUUGAAUGAGCCGAGGUCGGAUUAGCUAGUUGGCGGGGUAAAGGCCCACCAAGGCGACGAUCCGUAGCUGGUCUGAGAGGAUGAUCAGCCACACUGGAACUGAGACACGGUCCAGACUCCUACGGGAGGCAGCAGUGGGGAAUAUUGGACAAUGGGCGCAAGCCUGAUCCAGCCAUACCGCGUGGGUGAAGAAGGCCUUCGGGUUGUAAAGCCCUUUUGUUGGGAAAGAAAAGCAGCAGGUUAAUACCCCGCUGUUCUGACGGUACCCAAAGAAUAAGCACCGGCUAACUUCGUG